AAGUCGAACGGCAGCACGGAGCUUGCUCUGGUGGCGAGUGGCGAACGGGUGAGUAAUAUAUCGGAACGUACCCUGGAGUGGGGGAUAACGUAGCGAAAGUUACGCUAAUACCGCAUACGAUCUAAGGAUGAAAGUGGGGGAUCGCAAGACCUCAUGCUCGUGGAGCGGCCGAUAUCUGAUUAGCUAGUUGGUAGGGUAAAAGCCUACCAAGGCAUCGAUCAGUAGCUGGUCUGAGAGGACGACCAGCCACACUGGAACUGAGACACGGUCCAGACUCCUACGGGAGGCAGCAGUGGGGAAUUUUGGACAAUGGGCGCAAGCCUGAUCCAGCAAUGCCGCGUGAGUGAAGAAGGCCUUCGGGUUGUAAAGCUCUUUUGUCAGGGAAGAAACGGUGAGAGCUAAUAUCUUUUGCUAAUGACGGUACCUGAAGAAUAAGCACCGGCUAACUACGUGCCAGCAGCCGCGGUAAUACGUAGGGUGCAAGCGUUAAUCGGAAUUACUGGGCGUAAAGCGUGCGCAGGCGGUUUUGUAAGUCUGAUGUGAAAUCCCCGGGCUCAACCUGGGAAUUGCAUUGGAGACUGCAAGGCUAGAAUCUGGCAGAGGGGGGUAGAAUUCCACGUGUAGCAGUGAAAUGCGUAGAUAUGUGGAGGAACACCGAUGGCGAAGGC
rnacentral:rRNA from 1 species